UAGGGAAUCUUCGGCAAUGGACGAAAGUCUGACCGAGCAACGCCGCGUGAGUGAAGAAGGUUUUCGGAUCGUAAAACUCUGUUGUUAGAGAAGAACAAGGACGUUAGUAACUGAACGUCCCCUGACGGUAUCUAACCAGAAAGCCACGGCUAACUACGUGCCAGCAGCCGCGGUAAUACGUAGGUGGCAAGCGUUGUCCGGAUUUAUUGGGCGUAAAGCGAGCGCAGGCGGUUUCUUAAGUCUGAUGUGAAAGCCCCCGGCUCAACCGGGGAGGGUCAUUGGAAACUGGGAGACUUGAGUGCAGAAGAGGAGAGUGGAAUUCCAGGUGUAGCGGUGAAAUGCGUAGAUAUAUGGAGGAACACCAGUGGCGAAGGCGGCUCUCUGGCCUGUAACUGACGCUGAGGCUCGAAAGCGUGGGGAGCAAACAGG
rnacentral:rRNA from 1 species